UGAAUGAACAUGACAGCAAAAAAACAAAACAAAGUUAAACUCACAUGUGUUUUAUUCAUCAGGUAGUAAUAGAUUACUCUGGGUCAUCAGGUAGUAAUAGAUUAGUCUGAUUCAUCACCUAGUAAUAGAUUACUCUGGUUCAUCAGGUAGUAAUAGAUUACUCAUGUAUUUUAAACUCAGUCGGGACGUUUUUAUCACAGGUGACCAGAACUUUCUUCUCCACCUCCUCCAUCGUGUACUCACAGUUGGGGGGGGUUUUAUGCUCAGGAUCAACUUU